GUGGAUUAGUGGCGAACGGGUGAGUAACACGUGGGCAAUCUGCCCUUCACUCUGGGACAAGCCCUGGAAACGGGGUCUAAUACCGGAUAACACUCCUGCCUGCAUGGGCGGGGGUUAAAAGCUCCGGCGGUGAAGGAUGAGCCCGCGGCCUAUCAGCUUGUUGGUGGGGUAAUGGCCUACCAAGGCGACGACGGGUAGCCGGCCUGAGAGGGCGACCGGCCACACUGGGACUGAGACACGGCCCAGACUCCUACGGGAGGCAGCAGUGGGGAAUAUUGCACAAUGGGCGAAAGCCUGAUGCAGCGACGCCGCGUGAGGGAUGACGGCCUUCGGGUUGUAAACCUCUUUCAGCAGGGAAGAAGCGCAAGUGACGGUACCUGCAGAAGAAGCACCGGCUAACUACGUGCCAGCAGCCGCGGUAAUACGUAGGGUGCGAGCGUUGUCCGGAAUUAUUGGGCGUAAAGAGCUCGUAGGCGGCUUGUCACGUCGGAUGUGAAAGCUCGGGGCUUAACCCCGAGUCUGCAUUCGAUACGGGCUAGCUAGAGUGUGGUAGGGGAGAUCGGAAUUCCUGGUGUAGCGGUGAAAUGCGCAGAUAUCAGGAGGAACACCGGUGGCGAAGGCGGAUCUCUGGGCCAUUACUGACGCUGAGGAGCGAAAGCGUGGGGAGCGAACAGGAUUAGAUACCCUGGUAGUCCACGCCGUAAACGUUG
rnacentral:rRNA from 1 species